UCCAAAUUGAAGCACCACGUGGGUUUAGUUUUCCCUAAACCCUUUUGCCUUCUUCUCUCUAUCUCAAUUCAACAUUUUCAAUUUCCAGUCUCUCUGUCUAUCGCUUUAAUGUCUCUCUUCCUGGUCAGUUUUCCUUCUUCCUCCACAUAAUUUAUUGCUCAAUUUUUGGCUUAGUAUUUUAAUCUCUCUUCAAUUUUAUCUUUUAUUAUUGGGUCUUCUAAAGAUGAACAUCACUUCUAAUUUUGUAAUCUUAUAAAGAAAUGGACACCUUCUUCGCGUCUUUCUCUGUUUUCUCAGCAAUGUAUGCGCUUUUCUUCCUGUUUUACAAUAUAAUUUUUGACAUCUUAAACUUUUGGGUAGCUUUUGGUCUUGAGUUAUCUUUUGGGGAGUUCUCUUUUCUUAGCUCUAAUUUUUCUUCUGAGUUUUUGCUUUCAAUCUUCCUUAUUUAUGCUUAGUCCUUCUUUAUUUUAGAUUUAGGAUAUGGAAUUUUUGCAUACUUGAUUCCGAAGACGCUGCAUUCUUUUAAUUUCUCUGUUUUGUCGCCCUAUCUUGGAUAUGCAUGCUAUGAUUUGUCAUAUAUGGUGUAGCUUGACAUUGUGCAGUAGUUGGAGCUAUUCCAGAAAUGAGAGAGUUAUAGGCACAACCUAUGUUGUCUGGCCCUUCCCUUGUGUCUCAAUAGUGUAUAUUGGUGUUUACAAAUGGGUUGCCACUACUCAGCUUGGCCGCCAAGACUUUUGUUGCCUGGACUACUAAUCAUUGGCUAUGAGUUGAUAGAGCUAUUUUUGAAAAUCUAAGGACAAGAUAAUGCACCUAACAUAUGCUAGCCAAAAUUGAGAUAUAUCGGAAAUCCAGUUUUGGCAUUCUGUGGAAUGCUACUGCAAAAAAAAGGCUUAUAACAACAAACAAAGGCUUGUGGACUGAUGGACUUUCAAAGAAACCAUCUUCUUUUGUCCAAUGUGUAAAUAGGUUCUCAUGUAAACAAGCUGAAAAUGUACUUAAGGAAGCGAGCUCAACAAUGUACCAUGUUACAAGUACAUAUAAUCCUUGAGCCCAUGAGAAGCAAAUAUGGAUAUCUCACAAAGCAAAUUUGGAUAAAAGUUCAAUUGUAAAAAUAAUUGAUUCAUGUACGAC